CUACUACUCCCUCCGUUCGGAAUUACUCGUCCAAGAAAUGAAUGUAUCUAGAUGUAUUUUAGUUGUAGGUACAUCCAUUUUUGUGACAAGUAAUUCCGAACGGAGGGAGUAUAAA
rnacentral:pre_miRNA from 1 species